rnacentral:rRNA from 1 species
AGCGAACGCUGGCGGCAGGCCUAACACAUGCAAGUCGAACGAAGUCUUCGGACUUAGUGGCGGACGGGUGAGUAACACGUGGGAACGUGCCUUUAGGUUCGGAAUAACUCAGGGAAACUUGUGCUAAUACCGAAUGUGCCCUUCGGGGGAAAGAUUUAUCGGCUUUAGAGCGGCCCGCGUCUGAUUAGCUAGUUGGUGAGGUAAAGGCUCACCACGGCGACGACCAGUAGCUGGUAUGAGAGGAUGAUCAGCCACAUUGGGACUGAGACACGGCCCAAACUCCUGCGGGAGGCAGCAGUGGGGAAGUUUGCGCAAUGGGCGAAAGCCUGACGCAGCCAUGCCGCGUGAAUGAUGAAGGUCUUAGGAUUGUAAAAUUCUUUCACCGGGGACGAUAAUGACGGUACCCGGAGAAGAAGCCCCGGCUAACUUCGUGCCAGCCGCCGCCGUAA